AUUUGGCUGGAAUGAAAGUCCACAUUGGCCUUUUACAGAGAACGAUGAAGACCCCUGCCUUAUUUAUACUGAACCUGCAUAUCUUUUCUGUCUGAAUCUGGCAACAUGCGUAAAAGUUCAUGGUCAUUGUCAUGCUGGAACAGGUUUGGGUCUCCUACGAAUCAGAAUUAAAGAGACUAAUGGUGCUAACCAGUGCUUUUCUGACCACGUACAUUAUCACAUCUGUGAUUUCAUCAUGAACAGCAAGUUAAAACAAAGAGCCAUGACAUAGGUUUGAAAUACGGUCGUCCGAGGUGUUUUGAGUGUCCCGUGCACUUCAAGAGAGUUCGAACAGGUUGAUGACGAGAGAUCAGGAGGAUCUUCGAUGAGCACAACCCCUCAAAAUGUCGAAACCAUUCGACUGCUUGUGCAUGAUGAUCGUCAAAGAACAAUCCAUUUGAUCUCAUCUCUAGCUCAAAGCUCGCCAUUUUGACACCACUGCGAAGAUCCAGCGUGAAUCGCAGAAGGUGCUUGACAUGAUUCAAAAAGAAUACAUUCCAGAGGUGAAAGGAAUGCUGGAAGUGCCGCAUUGCUGUGCAAAUGGAAACUAUUUUAAAAGUAAUUGUGAGUAAACGUUGAUUAAUAAAGUACUUUCUUUUAAACAGA